UUCCUUUCAGAUAUUGUCAGCAAAAUCAAGAUAAUCACUACCAAACAUGCUAAAUAGAGCUGAAGGGAACGCCUUUCAUCCAGAAAUCUUGAGUUACACCUGAAUUCUAGUUUAGGAAGAAGAUAACUUCUGAACUCGUGUUGCCAGAAUGGAGGGGAUCAACAGUCACAGUUAUUGCACUUGUUUAAUCUUGGAAAAAGAUUCAGGGUUCAGGUUCUCAUGUCCUGCCAGUGAGAAGGUUGGCGAGGCACAAGAAGUUGGGAGGGGACACAGCCUGGACAACUGACUCCAACAGACAAAAGAGAUGUCCCAUACCAUGUGGCACCACAGUCAGUAUAUAAACUGGGGGGGAAAGUUGACAGGGGGUUGCUGCUCAGGAACUGACUGGGCAUGAGUUGGUGUGUGGUGAGCAAUUGUUUUUCAUUUGCAUAACUUGUUUUAC